rnacentral:rRNA from 1 species
UCUGGUGACCAUAGGUGCAGGGAAACACACGUUCCCUUCUCGAACACGCUCGUUAAGCCU